GAUGAACGCUGGCGGCGUGCUUAACACAUGCAAGUCGAACGAUGAAAGCGGGAGCUUGCUCCUGCUGGAUUAGUGGCGAACGGGUGAGGAACACGUGAGCAAUCUGCCCCGAACUCUGGGAUAAGCGUUGGAAACGACGUCUAAUACCGGAUACGACGCGCGAAGGCAUCUUCUGCGCGUGGAAAGAACUUCGGUUCGGGAUGAGCUCGCGGCCUAUCAGCUAGUUGGUGAGGAAACGGCCCACCAAGGCAACGACGGGUAGCCGGCCUGAGAGGGUGACCGGCCACACUGGGACUGAGACACGGCCCAGACUCCUACGGGAGGCAGCAGUGGGGAAUAUUGCACAAUGGGCGCAAGCCUGAUGCAGCAACGCCGCGUGAGGGACGACGGCCUUCGGGUUGUAAACCUCUUUUAGUAGGGAAGAAGCGAAAGUGACGGUACCUGCAGAAAAAGCACCGGCUAACUACGUGCCAGCCGCCGCCGUAAUAC
rnacentral:rRNA from 1 species